GAGGAUACAAUCCAUAUAGUCCCAGCAACCGCGGUAACACUAUAGAAGAACCGAGUAUUCUCCAUCAAUGCCAGGCGGUAAAAG
rnacentral:rRNA from 1 species